rnacentral:lncRNA from 1 species
AUCUAUUAUUCAGAAGACAUCAGUUAAAACAUGGACGUAUUCAUAAAAACAAUUAAGGUUGUUCACUGAUAAAAGAAAAUGAUAUCAAAAUCUCAUCAUCAGGGAGCCCACACUCCGGCCUUUAUUAUGUUGAGGUAUGUUUCCUCUCUAUCUACUUUUGGAAGAGUUUUUAUCAUAAAUGCAUAUUGAAAAAGUGAUGUUAAUUUUUGCUGCCUCAAGUGGGACACAGAAGAAUCCCUGUGUCUUUUGUUCACGUAUACUUUCUCCUGCAAUUUCCUCUCUGACUCCCAAAUUUCCAUGUCAAGGCCAGCUCAUUCUUCAAGGUAUAACAUCGAUUAUAUUUCUGUCAUAUUGUGUUUUCUUAACCUCUCUGCAUCCCACCUUUGAAUCUUGCUUUAUUUGCAUUUUACAUGGCAUUUAUGUUAAUUUGGCUUGAGUUAUGAAUAUUUGAGAAAUUUUCUCUGUGUAACUAAAGACUGCAAGUUCUUUAAUUGAGAUAACUGUCCUUGUUUAUGUCUUCAAAACCUGAAGUUGCAUAAGGGAUGAAUGAAGGGAGGGGUUCAAGACAUCAAAUUAAGAGAGUCUUAGUGAACUCUGAUUGAGUGAUAUUGCAUGUGAUUCUUGAAUUUAAUUGCAUUAACACCUUGGGCUUUAUCAAUAUCCAGCAACAACCUAUGUUUCAAUACAAGAGAAAACAGAGGAUGUAGGAGGUAAUUGUGGAAACAAAUGAGCAGAGGGGCCAGAUGGGCACUAACAAAAUAAAUAUAUCAUUUGGUGAAAUGGUACAGCAUAUAAAAGUGAUCUCAUGAGAAACACAUUCAAAGUAUGAUUACCCUAUUUGAACUUACAGGAUUUUUUAGAGCUCAAUUCAUUUUCAGAGUGAAAGAGUUCCAAACAUAGGCUGCUGCCACCUUCAGGGAUUAAAAUAUUCAUCCCAGGGAAGAGGAUAGAGCAGCUUUGAACAAAGUCAACAGCUUGUGGUUGGCAGAGAGGAUACAGAGGUGUUGACCUUGCUUGCUUAGGUUACCAUGUUCAUUCAACCUUCCAAAUAUUAAAAACAGGAAAAUUGUCAAUUGUAUGUAAGUUUAAAAAAUUCAUUGAUAUGUGCCUCUUAGGACCAAAUAUUACUGCCAGUAUUUUUCCAGUCAUUCGAUAUUUCAAGAAAUUAUGUACAAUAGUCUACUUCUUAAGUUCUGUUAAAUCUAGUAAUUUUCCUUCCUCACAACAGUGCUAGAACUCACAUCUGGAAAGCGAUAGGAUGAGGGAACUCUUUAAAUUAGCUGUUCUCAAAAAAAGAGUUAAACCACGCAGCUGUGCUAUAUACAGUUCUACAUUGUUCUUCUGAAACAGGGGAGAAGAAGGAACUGUCUAAAGUCAAAUGACAGGUUAUUAUUUUGGUUAAUGUGAAGUGUUCAUCUGACAAGUUUAUUGAGUUCGAUUUGUGUGCAUAACCCCAAAGCAAAUUUACAGUUUAUCUGAUAGUCCUUCUUUUCCCCUUCCAAACCAACAAUCCACAAAUGUGCCAUCUGAAAAGAAAAAAAAUAAAAAA